UACAGAGGUCUCGAGCGUUAGGCGGAAUCACUGGGCUUAAAGCGUGUGUAGGCGGAUCGUUAAGUACCUUGUGAAAUCCCACGGCUUAACCGUGGAAUUGCUGGGUAUACUGGCGAUCUUGAGCCACUUAGGGGCUACCGGAACAAAUGGUGGAGCGGUGAAAUGCGUAGAUAUCAUUUGGAACGCCAAUGGUGAAAACAGGUAGCUGGGAGUGUGCUGACGCUGAGACACGAAAGCCAGGGGAGCAAACGGG
rnacentral:rRNA from 1 species